rnacentral:misc_RNA from 1 species
UCCGGUGCCAGCAGCUGAGC